CCUACGGGAGGCAGCAGUGAGGAAUAUUGGUCAAUGGACGAGAGUCUGAACCAGCCAAGUAGCGUGAAGGAUGACUGCCCUAUGGGUUGUAAACUUCUUUUAUAUGGGAAUAAAACGUAACACGUGUGGGAUUUUGUAUGUACCAUAUGAAUAAGGAUCGGCUAACUCCGUGCCAGCAGCCGAGGUAAUACGGAGGAUCCGAGCGUUAUCCGGAUUUAUUGGGUUUAAAGGGAGCGUAGGUGGAUUGUUAAGUCAGUUGUGAAAGUUUGCGGCUCAACCGUAAAAUUGCAGUUGAAACUGGCAGUCUUGAGUACAGUAGAGGUGGGCAGAAUUCGUGGUGUAGCGGUGAAAUGCUUAGAUAUCACGAAGAACUCCGAUUGCGAAGGCAGUUCACUGGACUGCAACUGACACUGAGGCUCGAAAGUGUGGGUAUCAAACAGGAUUAGAUACCCUAGUAGUC
rnacentral:rRNA from 1 species